UUGUGGGGUGACGGCGUGCCUAUCGAAAAAUGAGUCUGCGAGUCAGUGGCAUGUGGCGAGCAUAACCCGUGUGGGGUAUGCGUAGCGAAGGCGAGUCUUAAAAGGCGUUUGAGUCGCGUGUCCUGGACCCGAAGCGGGAUGAUCUAGCCCUGGGCAGGUUGAAGCGCGGGUAAGACCGCGUGGAGGACCGAACCCACCUGGGUUGAAAACCGGGGGGAUGACCUGGGGCUAGGGGUGAAAGGCCAAUCAAAUUCCGUGAUAGCUGGUUCUCUCCGAAAUGCAUUUAGGUGCAGCGUCGGUCGAUUGCGUCGCGGGGGUAGAGCUACCGGAUGCUUGCGGGCCCUUGUUGGGUACCAACAGCAGCCGAACUCCGAAUACCGUUGACGUGUAUUCCGGCAGUGAGUCGGCGGGGGAUAAGCUCCGUCGUCGAGAGGGAGACAGCCCAGACCGUCGUCUAAGGUCCCGAAGCGUGUGCUAAGUGGGAAAGGAUGUGGAGUCGCAUAGACAGCCAGGAGGUUGGCUCAGAAGCAGCCAUCCUUGAAAGAGUGCGUAACAGCUCACUGGUCUAGUGGUUCCGCGCCGACAAUGUAGCGGGGCUCAAGCACACCACCGAAGACGCGGCAGCAAUCUUCAUGGUUGCUGGGUAGGAGAGCGUCCUGCGAGGGGCGAAGCGGCCGGGUAACCGUGCCGUGGACUUCGUGGGAGUGAGAAUGCAGACAUGAGUAGCGAGAGACGGGUGAGGAUCCCGUCCGCUGGAUGACCAAGGGUUCCGGGGCCACGUUCGUCGUCCCCGGGUGAGUCGGGUCCUAAGGCGAGGCCGACAGGCGUAGUCGAAUGGAUGAACGGGUGGAUAUUCCCGUACCGACCAUGGACCGGCAAAACCGAGACGGUGAGUACUAACCUCCGCCUCGUGGUGGUUCCUUCCUUCGGGUUGGUUCCGCCGCGUGGUGUUGGGAGCGUAGCCGUAGUAGGUCAGCGCAGGGGUGACACGGAAUGGGAGCCGGCCGCGGAGGUGGUUUUCCGUGGUCAAGCACGCAGCCAGUCAUGUAGGCAAAUCCGCAUGGCGCGCAUGGCGAGGUGUGAUGAUGGGAGCCUUUUGGGCUCGAUAUCCGGUUGUCCAGGCCGUCGAGAAAAGCCUCGGCGCGAGGGGCGUUGCCGCCCGUACCCCAAACCGACACUGGUGGUCAGGUAGAGAAUACCAAGGCGAUCGAGCGAAUCCUGGUCAAGGAACUCGGCAAAUCACUCCCGUGCCUUCGGUAUAAGGGAGACCCGCUGGGGUGAACCGGCUAGCCCGGGGAGCUUUGGUGGGUGGCACAGACCAGGGGGUAGCGACUGUUUACCAAAAACACAGGUGCAUGCGAAGGCGCAAGCCGCUGUAUAUGCACUGACGCCUGCCCGGUGCCGGAAGGUUAAGAGGAUCCGUCAGCCCUCGGGUGAAGCGGUGAAUUCAAGCCCCGGUAAACGGCGGUGGUAACUAUAACCAUCCUAAGGUAGCGAAAUUCCUUGUCGGGUAAGUUCCGACCUGCACGAAUGGCGUAACGACUUCCCCACUGUCUCGACCAGGAGCUCGGCGAAAUUGCAGUACGAGUAAAGAUGCUCGUUAAGCGCAGAAGGACGAAAAGACCCCGGGACCUUUACUAUACCUUGGUAUUGGCGUUAGGCGCGGAUUGUGUAGCAUAGGCGGGAGGCUUCGAAGCGGGUGCGCCAGCAUUCGUGGAGCCGCAAGGUGAAAUACCGCUCUGUUCUCGUUUGACGUCUAACCUCGAACAGUCAUCCUGUUCAGGGACAGUGCCUGGCGGGUAGUUUAACUGGGGCGGUUGCCUCCCAAAGAGUAACGGAGGCGCUCAAAGGUCCGCUCAGCCCGGUUGGCAAUCGGGUGUCGAGUGUAAUCGCACAAGCGGGCUUGACUGCGAGGACGACGGUCCGAGCAGGGACGAAAGUCGGAGAUAGUGAUCCGGUGCCGGCGCACGGGCGCGGCAUCGCUCAACGGAUAAAAGGUACCCCGGGGAUAACAGGCUGAUCAUUCCCAAGAGUCCAUAUCGACGGGAUGGUUUGGCACCUCGAUGUCGGCUCGUCGCAUCCUGGGGCUGGAGCAGGUCCCAAGGGUUCGGCUGUUCGCCGAUUAAAGCGGCACGCGAGCUGGGUUCAGAACGUCGUGAGACAGUUUGGUCUCUAUCCUCUGCGCUCGUUGGAAUCCUGAGGAGGCCUGCCCAUAGUACGAGAGGACCUGGGUGGACGAACCUCUGGUAUGCCGGUUGUCGCGCCAGCGGCACGGCCGGUUGGCUACGUUCGGGAGGGAUAACCGCUGAAAGCAUCUAAGCGGGAAGCCUGCUCCAAGAU
rnacentral:rRNA from 1 species